rnacentral:rRNA from 1 species
AUCUACCUAGUAGUGGGGGAUAGCACGGGGAAACUCGUAUUAAUACCGCAUACGACCUACGGGAGAAAGGGGGCAGUUUACUGCUCUCGCUAUUAGAUGAGCCUAAGUCGGAUUAGCUAGAUGGUGGGGUAAAGGCCUACCAUGGCGACGAUCUGUAGCUGGUCUGAGAGGAUGAUCAGCCACACCGGGACUGAGACACGGCCCGGACUCCUACGGGAGGCAGCAGUGGGGAAUAUUGGACAAUGGGGGCAACCCUGAUCCAGCCAUGCCGCGUGUGUGAAGAAGGCCUUUUGGUUGUAAAGCACUUUAAGCAGUGAAGAAGACUCCAUGGUUAAUACCCAUGGACGAUGACAUUAGCUGCAGAAUAAGCACCGGCUAACUCUGUGCCAGCAGCCGCGGUAAUACAGAGGGUGCAAGCGUUAAUCGGAAUUACUGGGCGUAAAGGGAGCGUAGGUGGCUCGAUAAGUCAGAUGUGAAAUCCCCGGGCUCAACCUGGGAACUGCAUCUGAUACUGUUGAGCUAGAGUAUGUGAGAGGAAGGUAGAAUUCCAGGUGUAGCGGUGAAAUGCGUAGAGAUCUGGAGGAAUACCGAUGGCGAAGGCAGCCUUCUGGCAUAAUACUGACACUGAGGCUCGAAAGCGUGGGUAGCAAACAGGAUUAGAUACCCUGGUAGUCCACGCCGUAAACGAUGUCUACUAGUCGUUGGGUCCCUUGAGGACUUAGUGACGCAGCUAACGCAAUAAGUAGACCGCCUGGGGAGUACGGCCGCAAGGUUAAAACUCAAAUGAAUUGACGGGGGCCCGCACAAGCGGUGGAGCAUGUGGUUUAAUUCGAUGCAACGCGAAGAACCUUACCUGGUCUUGACAUAUCUAGAAUCCUGCAGAGAUGCGGGAGUGCCUUCGGGAAUUAGAAUACAGGUGCUGCAUGGCUGUCGUCAGCUCGUGUCGUGAGAUGUUGGGUUAAGUCCCGCAACGAGCGCAACCCUUGUCCUUAGUUACCAGCGGGUUAAGCCGGGAACUCUAAGGAUACUGCCAGUGACAAACUGGAGGAAGGCGGGGACGACGUCAAGUCAUCAUGGCCCUUACGACCAGGGCUACACACGUGCUACAAUGGUAGGUACAGAGGGCAGCUACACAGCGAUGUGAUGCGAAUCUCAAAAAGCCUAUCGUAGUCCAGAUUGGAGUCUGCAACUCGACUCCAUGAAGUAGGAAUCGCUAGUAAUCGCGGAUCAGAAUGCCGCGGUGAAUACGUUCCCGGGCCUUGUACACAC